rnacentral:lncRNA from 1 species
GGCUAUAGUCUGGGAAAAUUUUUUUAUUACAAACUUUUAGCCGACGAAUAUCUUAAUUGUUUCGUCGGCUAAAGUCUGGGAAAAAAACCGACGACAUGUUUUUCGUCGGCUAAACUGCGGGACUAUAGCCGACGAAAUUUUUUUUGUCGUCGGCUAAAGUCAUCACAGACGACCUUUUCCCGAUGAAAUCUUAGCCAACGCUGGCUCGUUGGCUAAGUUAGCCGACGAAAAAUUUUCGUCGGCUAAAGUGCUUGUCCUGGUAGUGAAACUCUCUAUAUUGACUCCUUGAGCAUCUCCAGUAGUGGUGUUAAAAGUGAAAUAUGUCAAUUUUUAGGGUAAAUUGAUGCUCUAACAGAAUACAUAAAUUAUUGCUAAAUUUGAUAAUUGUUAAAUGAAAUUGACAAAUUUGUCAAUGAUCCAUGCAUAAUUAAAGCAAUAGCUAAAUCUUAUUUCCUCUCUUGCCCACGUGUCACUUUACAAUUUGUUAUGACAUAAUAUAUAAUAAUGACUGAUAGAGCAAUAUUAUUAAAUCGAUACCUAAAUUUCAAAAUUCUUGCUAAAAAUAUCAAUUUAUGAAUCUUAUUGCUGGAGAUGCGCUAUUUUAAUUAGAGAAAGAGUUUAGUUUUUGUUUUUGUUUUUUGUUUUUUUUAUCAAUUUUAAUAGCUCCAGCAUACUAUUUUGUGGCUAACUAUUUUAACUUUUAACUGAGCAUCUUCAGUAGUCUAGGUUAGUUUAUUGCUAAAUUUAACAAUAG